rnacentral:lncRNA from 1 species
GGACUGUGUCCCUUGGACCUGUGAGGGGAUUUCUUCUCUGGCCUACCACCAUCAGACCCGGGAAAAUUCCUGUCCUGCCUGCUGCUCCUGGACUUUUGGUGAUUAACUAGCCCAGCCCACUGGACAUUCUGAGCAUAUCCUGGAGGUCUUCCUCUUGUGCCUGCUGCAACGCAAUCUCCAGGUAUUUUCUUCUUGGCAGCCUACUUUGCUGACCCUCUGCAUCUUCACAUUACCAAGUGGUCAGCGCUCCGCAGAUGAACCAGUGCACCAACCAUGAAUCAAUCAAAACAGCAAUGAGACUGAAAUGGAACGGUGUUUCUACUAUUUAUUUAGAAGAUUUUUUUGAAGAACAGAUGAAACUAGCCCAGAAAAAGAACAACAGAGUGAAGAAAGAGAAGCGUCCCUGUUGAUUGCCACCAUCGUGCAAAGACUGGGAGAAAGGUAUGAGGAAAAAGGCAAAGGCAAAUUUCAAGCAUCUCACCUCUGGCGGGGCUUGGGGAGCACAUUCAUUGGCAGUGAGUGUGAAUAGUCUUCCUGUGGGCUGAGAACUUCCUUUCUCUCCUUCCCCAACCACCC